UUAAUAAACAGUCCCGAAGACAGCAGGUGCCGCAAGGCAUAAGUUGACAACGCCUGCCGAGGAAUUGUAAAAUUUCUUAUGAAUUUUUAUGCCUCUCGUCUUUGGACGGGAGGUUUUUCAAUU
rnacentral:sRNA from 1 species